AUACGGAGGGUCCGAGCGUUAUCCGGAAUCAUUGGGUUUAAAGGGUCCGUAGGCGGGAAUCUAAGUCAGUGGUGAAAUCUUGCAGCUCAACUGUAAAAUUGCCAUUGAUACUGGAUUUCUUGAAUUAGUGUGAAGUGAUUAGAAUGUGUAGUGUAGCGGUGAAAUGCAUAGAUAUUACACAGAAUACCAAUUGCGAAGGCAGAUCACUAACACUAUAUUGACGCUGAGGGACGAAAGCGUGGGGAGCGAACAGGAUUAGAUACCCCGGUAGUCC
rnacentral:rRNA from 1 species